GGAUAACCAAACUCUGAUUUAACGACGUUUCUUCUGAGUGACACAAGCAAAUAAUCAAAACUUUUAACAACGGAUCUCUUGGUUCUGGCAUCGAUGAAGAACGCAGCGAAAUGCGAUAAGUAAUGUGAAUUGCAGAAUUCAGUGAAUCAUCGAAUCUUUGAACGCACAUUGCGCCCGCCAGCAUUCUGGCGGGCAUGCCUGUUCGAGCGUCAUUUCAACCCUCAAGCUCUGCUUGGUGUUGGGGCUCUACGGUUGACGUAGGCCCUUAAAGGUAGUGGCGGACCCUCUCGGAGCCUCCUUUGCGUAGUAACAUUUCGUCUCGCAUUGGGAUUCGGAGGGACUCUAGCCGUAAAACCCCCAAUUUUACUAAGGUUGACCUCGGAUCAGGUAGGAAUACCCGCUGAACUUAAGCAUAUCAAUAAGGCGGGAGGAAA
rnacentral:ncRNA from 1 species